rnacentral:rRNA from 1 species
UACCGCCUAUAUACCGCCGUCGUCAGCCUACCCUGUGAAGGACUAGAAGUAAGCAAGAUUGGUAAGACCCAAAACGUCAGGUCGAGGUGUAGUGUAUGAGAGGGGAAGAAAUGGGCUACAUUUCCUAAAUCAGGAAAUACGAACAAUGGACUGAAAUAAACAUUAGAAGGUGGAUUUAGCAGUAAGCAGAAAAAUAGAGUGUUCUGCUGAAGUAUGGCAAUAAAGCACGCACAUAUCGCCCGUCACUCUCCCCGAGCUUAACACAAAAACAUACCUAAAAAAUUACAUCUGCAAAGGGGAGGCAAGUCGUAACAUGGUAAGCGUACCGGAAGGUGCGCUUGGAAUAAU